AGAGUUUGAUCCUGGCUCAGAGCGAACGCUGGCGGCGUGCUUAACACAUGCAAGUCGAACGCGCAAUCCGGUGUAGCAAUACAUCGGGCGGGCGCGUGGCGAACGGGUGCGUAACACGUGGAUAACCUUCCUUCAGGUGGGGAAUAACUCGCCGAAAGGCGAGCUAAUACCGCAUAACAUUGCGAGGACACAUGUUCCUGCAAUCAAACCCGCAAGGGGCCAGUAGAGGGAUCCGCGGCCGAUUAGCUAGUUGGCGAGGUAACGGCUCACCAAGGCAAAGAUCGGUAGCCGGUCUGAGAGGAUGAUCGGCCACACUGGAACUGAGACACGGUCCAGACUCCUACGGGAGGCAGCAGUGGGGAAUCUUGCGCAAUGGGCGAAAGCCUGACGCAGCAACGCCGCGGGGGGGAUGAAGCUUCUCGGAGUGUAAACCCCUUUCGACCCGGACGAAUGCCCGCAAGGGCUUGACGGUACGGGUAUAAGAAGCCCCGGCUAACUACGUGCCAGCAGCCGCGGUAAAACGUAGGGGGCCAGCGUUGCUCGGAAUUACUGGGCGUAAAGGGUCCGUAGGCGGUGUGGCAAGUCGGAAGUGAAAUCUCUGGGCUUAACUCAGAGGCUGCUUCCGAAACUGCCGUGCUCGAGUGCGAGAGAGGCAAGUGGAAUUGCGGGUGUAGCGGUGAAAUGCGUAGAUAUCCGCAGGAACAUCCGAGGCGAAAGCGGCUUGCUGGAUCGCAACUGACGCUGAGGGACGAAAGCUAGGGGAGCAAACAGGAUUAGAUACCCUGGUAGUCCUAGCCCUAAACCAUCACGACUUGGGGUUUGCCCUGUACGGGGCAAGUCCCGGAGCUAACGCGUUAAGUCCUGCGCCUGGGGAGUACGGUCGCAAGGCUGAACUCAAAGGAAUUGACGGGGCCCGCACAAGCGGUGGAACAUGUGGUUCAAUUCGACGCAACGCGAAGAACCUUA
rnacentral:rRNA from 1 species